rnacentral:rRNA from 1 species
UGGAAGUAAAAAAGUCGUAACAAGGUCUCCGUUGGUGAACCAGCGGAGGGAUCAUUACCGAGUUUACAACUCCCAAACCCAAUGUGAACCAUACCAAACUGUUGCCUCGGCGGGGUCACGCCCCGGGUGCGUCGCAGCCCCGGAACCAGGCGCCCGCCGGAGGGACCAACCAAACUCUUUUCUGUAGUCCCCUCGCGGACGUUAUUUCUUACAGCUCUGAGCAAAAAUUCAAAAUGAAUCAAAACUUUCAACAACGGAUCUCUUGGUUCUGGCAUCGAUGAAGAACGCAGCGAAAUGCGAUAAGUAAUGUGAAUUGCAGAAUUCAGUGAAUCAUCGAAUCUUUGAACGCACAUUGCGCCCGCCAGUAUUCUGGCGGGCAUGCCUGUCCGAGCGUCAUUUCAACCCUCGAACCCCUCCGGGGGGUCGGCGUUGGGGACCUCGGGAGCCCCUAAGACGGGAUCCCGGCCCCGAAAUACAGUGGCGGUCUCGCCGCAGCCUCUCCUGCGCAGUAGUUUGCACAACUCGCACCGGGAGCGCGGCGCGUCCACGUCCGUAAAACACCCAACUUCUGAAAUGUGACCU